rnacentral:lncRNA from 1 species
UAGGGACAUCACAACUCGUAAUGAGUUCGUAUAACUCGUUGGGAGCUACUCAUACUCAGAAUAGAAAACUUAGUGACACAUACUAGUUAGGCUAUGAUUUAGGACCUUACGACUCAUCAGGACUUCUUAUAACUCGUAAGGGGAGUCGUAGUCAAGACAGUGAUUAUAAAAUUUUAGAAGCUUUCAAGGGCCAAAAAUCCAGGGCGUUACAUUCCCCCUGCC